rnacentral:rRNA from 1 species
GACGAACGCUGGCGGCGUGCUUAACACAUGCAAGUCGAACGAAGUGGCGAACGGGUGAGUAACGCGUAAUCAACCUGCCCUUCAGAGGGGGACAACAGUUGGAAACGACUGCUAAUACCGCAUACUGAAGGACGGGGUUGCGUCGGAUGAGCUAGGUGGAGGGGUAACGGCCCACCAAGGCCAAGAUCAGUAGCCGGGCUGAGAGGAUGAACGGCGCAAAUGGGACUGAGGCACGGCCCAGACUCCUACGGGAGGCAGCAGUGGGGAAGCUUCCGCAAUGGACGAAAGUCUGACGGAGCAACGCCGCGUGAGUGAUGACGGCCUUCGGGUUGUAAAGCUCUGUUAAUCGGGACGCGGUACCGGAAUAGAAAGCCACGGCUAACUACGUGCCAGCAGCCGCGGUAAUUC